ensembl:lncRNA
GGUAUGGAACUGUUUGUAGGACAGGUAGGGAACUGUUUGUAGGACAGGUAUGGAACUGUUUGUAGGACAGGUAUGGAACGGUUUGUAGGACAGGUAUGGAACUGUUUGUAGGACAGGUAUGGAACAGUUUGUAGGACAGGUAUGGAACUGUUUGUAGGACAGGUAUGGAACUGUUUGCCCUGUUUAUAUUUGUAGACAUUUUCGUGUUUUUAUGUUCUUUUAUUAAUUCAUUUUUUAUUGCCUUUUAUUUGAGUUUUUAUCUCAUUUGAUUGGAUUUUAUAUGACACAUAGAAUGGAUUAACUUCCAGGUUUGAAUUUCCUCUUUUUGACAUAAGCGCUCGCUGAGUAGCACUCGUCAUCCUGUCAACAUCGUUUUCCUGUACCCUUCAUAUGAUGGGAUGGAACAGUUUUGAUCCUGUGCAGUCCUCCUGGUUUGGUGUUGUAUUUCGUCUGUG